GCACGGAUGGCAGCAGUAAACAAGGAAAUUAAAUGUGUGUUGACAGAAGUUCUUCUGAAGGUUACUGAUGAUCUUUUUAAUGAGAUUGCAAGAAAAGUUAUGAAUGAAGAUGAUUCAUGAGCUGAACCAAAUGAGACCACUGGUGUCUCUAGCUCAAAGGAGACCACAGCUAAAGUUGUAGUCCGUGCUAAGCCAAACAAUGGUAGCUCUGAUGGUACUGGGCUAAGUUCUCCUAAAGGUGCUCUUCUUGGUCUUACUAGUUAUGAUUCAU